AUAUGCAUCAAUUACUAACUCAGAUAUUUCAUAAUAUGCAUGCAUGGCAUUUUAAAACAUACUUUCAUUUAAAUUCAAUUUCUGGGGAAAAAAAAUCAAUAGUAUAUAGGUAAAUACAGAAAAUAACUGCCCACUCACUGAUAAUUCGAAGGGUCGUAACCCCCGUGACGCCCUUGAAUGCGCUUGUCCUCGUGAUAGGUCUCACCUAUAUGCGAAACAACUAUAAAAACGUUAUUUAAAGCACAUAACCAACAAUGCGUAAUAACUUCUCAUACGAUGCUUAAUUUGGGUAUAUGAAUAUACCACAGUGACCUACUUGACGUCAUGGACGUUAAGGUAUUUUUAGAAAAAAAUUUCAAUGUUGCACGUGCCCCAACGCGCAUCAUCUUCUUCAUUCAGUCGCCGGACUGGUUUCGCCGACGCCGGAAAACUGGGGAUUUUUCAAUCUCCUUGUUCUCCGUUGAUUCUCCACCAUUUCUUACAAAAUUUAUACCAAAAUGAAGCCCUAAACAUGUAGAAUCAUGUUAUACUACUUUAAGGCUAAAAAACAUACGAAAUCUCACCAAAGAAAAUUCAAGAAAACCGGCCAACUUCUAACCCUACGAUCCCGACGUCCAAAACCUUCAAACUAAGUACUCCGAGCUUCCUUGGGACCUCACUAAGCUCCCUGUAAGCUUAGAAUUCCCUGAAAAUCAACAAUUCACGUGUGCAUGAACAAUGACAUCAAAUUGGGUUCGGAUUUCACGUGAUUUCGAGGGUUUCCAGUUCUAAAACUAGUACCAAUCGACUCAGGAGGUUGCAAGGAUGAAGGAACUCACCUUUUUGACUUCGAUCAGUGAUGUUUUGAGGGAUUUUGGUGCUCGUCCGUACAAUUCAAAGGGAGAGAGAGAGAAACUGAGAGUGAGAGAGGGUACGGGAGAGUGAGAGAGAGAAAUGACAGUUUGUGUGAGUGUGUAUGUGUCCCGUGUGUGUGAUCUAUCCAAACCAAACCACAACCCAACUUUCUUUAAGUCUCUAGUUUACUUUAGGUCCAAACUUAAGUAAAAUCACCCAAAAAAACCAACUUAAUUAAGUCACACACACACAACCUCACUUGACGACCAAGGGUAAUUUCGUAACUUCACAUCCUCGGAAAUGAAAUUCCGGGACGGGCUGUGACAAUCUACCCUCCUUAUAGAAUUUUGUCCUCGAAAUUCAUACAACCAAUCAAUCCACUAAUACUCAUAAAACAACCUUGGAUACAUCUCUCUCAUUCGAUCUUUUGUCUCCCAAGUAGCUUCUUCCACUGAGUGGUUCCUCCACAAUACUUUUACCAAGCUCACUGUCUUAUUCCUUAGAACUUUGUCUUUCCAAUCCAAGAUAGUCACUGGUUCCUCAUCAUACGUCAAAUCCGGAUUAAUCUCCAAAGGUUGAGGAGGAAUCACAUGUGAAGGAUCUGAAACAUAAUGUUGAAGCAUCGAGACAUGAAACACAUUAUGUACCUUAGAUAACUCCGGAGGCAACUCCAAUUUGUAAACAACUUCAGCAAUCCUUUCAGUGAUCUCAUAAGGUCCUAUGUACCUAGGACUUAGCUUGCAUUUCUUUCCAAACCGCACUACACCUCUCCAAGGUGACAAUUUCAAGAAUACCAAAUUACCCACAUCAUAAACUCAAUCAGUAGCAUGUCCAUCUGCUAAACUCUUUUGUCGAUCCUGGGCCGCUUUCAGGUUAGACUUAAUCACCUAAAUAUUUUGAGUAGUUUCAUCCACAAUUUCUAGGCCCUCUAGCACUCUUUCACCAACUUUUGACCAACACAAUGGUGUACGACAAGCUCUACCAUAAAGUGCCUCAUAUGGUGACAUACCAAUGCUCGAAUGAAAACUAUUAUUGUAGGCAAAUUCCAAUAAGUCUAGGCGAUCAUGCCAAAAAUCCCCAAACUGUAACACUGAAGAUCUUAGCAUAUCCUCUAGCAUCUGAAUGGUCCUCUCUGAUUGUCCAUCGGUUUGAGGAUGAUAAACAGUGCUGUAAAGCAGUUUCGUACCAAGAGCUUCCUGAAAAGCUAUCCAAAAUUUAGAAGUAAAUCUUGGAUCUCGAUUAGAAAUAAUAUUCACUGGAACUCCAUGAUACUUCACAAUCUUCGUGAUGAACAACUUAGCCAAUUUAUUCAGGGGAUACUUUUCCCUGACUGGAAUGAAGUGUGCUGACUUGGUAAGCCGAUCUACAACCACCCAAACGCCAUCAAAUCCAUUCUGUGUACGAGGAAGCUUAUACAAAAAAUCCAUAGUUAUAUUCCCAUUUCCACUGAGGAACGGGAAGUGGUUGCAUCCGUCCAAAAGGCUUUUUUCUUUCUGCUUUGACUUGCUGGCAAACAAUACACCUACUUACAUAUUCUGCAAUUUCCCUUUUCAUACCCGACCAAUAAUAAAAUGGUCGAAUGGUAUGGUACAUCUUAGUUCCUCCUGGAUGCAUCGCAUAAGCCGAACAAUGUGCUUCAUCCAAAAUUUCCUUCUUUAAUUCCUCAUUAUUUGGCACAUACAUUCUGUUCUCCUGCAUAAGCAUGCCAUCCGAUUCACGAAUUCUGAGAUCUUUCUUUUUCCCUUCAUUUCUCAAUUGGAUCAUUUCUUGGAUCUCUUCAUCAACCAUGUGAGCUUCAAGUACACGAUCGACUAAAAUUGGCCUGACUUGGAAACUAACAAGAAAAGCUUCUCUUCAUUCUUCGAUCUCCAACUUUAAUCCAGUAGCUCUCAAAUCUGCAAGAAGAGGGACACGACAAGCAUACAAAGCAUUAAGUCGACCUUGAGGUUUCCUACUUAGUGCAUUAGCUACCACAUUUGCACGACCCGGAUGAUACUCAACAGUGCAGUCAUAAUCACUUAAUAACUCCAUCCACCUUCGCUGACGAAGAUUAAGAUCAUACCGAGUAAAAAGAUACUAAAGACUCUUAUGAUCUGUGAAGAUCUUACAUUUCUCACCAUAGAGAUAAUGUCUCCAAAUCUUCAAAGCAAAGACAAUGGCUGCCAACUCAAAAUCGUGAGUAGGAUAAUUCAUUUCAUGAAUCUUCAACUGUCGAGAAGCAUAUGCGAUCACUCUAUUAUGUUGCAUCAAAACACAUCCCAAACCAUUCAAGGAAGCAUCACUGUAAAUCUCAAAGUUACCACUAUCGUCAAGAAGUACCAAUACUGGAACAUGGGUGAGGCAAUAUUUCAGCUGCUGGAAACUUUGCUCACAAUUCUCGUCCCACUCAAACUUAACAUCCUUCCUGGUUAACUUCGUUAGUGGUAAAGCAAUCAUAGAAAAAUUUUGAACAAACCGUCGAUAAUAACCUGCUAGACCAAGAAAACUCCGCACCUCAGUGAUGGUUCGUGGCUGUUCCCAAUUCUCCACUGCUGUAAUCUUUUGAGGAUCUACUUGAAUUCCUUGUGCCGAUACUACAUGUCCCAAAAAUGCCACUUGAUUCAACCAAAACUGGCAUUUGCUAAACUUGGCAUACAACCGAUGUUCCCUCAAUUUCUUUAAUACCAAGUUAAGAUGUCGAAUAUGAUCUGCUUUCGACUUAGAGUAUACCAGAAUAUCAUCAAUAAAAACAAUGACAAACCUAUCAAGAUAUUGCUGGAAUACUUCAUUUAUUAACCUCAUGAAAGCUACAAGUGCAUUAGUCAAUCCAAAUGGCAUCACAAAAAACUCAUAAUGUCCAUAACGGGUCCUGAAAGUUGUUUUAGGUACAUCUUCAUCUUUAAUCUUCAACUGAUAAUAGCCAGAUCUCAAAUCAAUCUUAGAGAACAUACACGCACCUUUAAGCUGAUCAAACAAAUCAUCGAUACGAGGCAAUGGAUAACGGUUUUUAAUCGUUACCCGAUUUAAUUGCCUGUAAUCAAUACAUAAUCUCAAAGUUCCAUCUUUCUUUCUUACAAACAACACUGGAGCUCCCUAAGGUGAAGUGCUAGGUUGAAUGAAACCUUUAUCAGUUAAUUCCUGUAACUAAAUUCUCAAUUCUCUUAAUUCAGUUGGAGCUAUUCUAUAUGGAGUCAAAGAUAUAGGAUCCGUACAUGGAAGCAAAUCAAUCGAAAACUCCACAUCUAUGUCUGGCGGCAAUUCAGGCAAAUCAUCUGGAAAUACAUCAGGAUAGUGCCUGACUACUCCAACUUCCUCCACACUGUUAGGACUAACAUCAUUUAACAUCACAUGUGCUAAGUAUCCUUGACAACCUUUCGAUAACAACUUCUUUGCUCUUAUGGCAGAAAUAACACCAUGUCUCACCCCACUUCUUUCACCCACAAAAGUAUCCUCUGGUAGUCUAGGACGAUGAAAAGUAACUGAUUUCCCAUAACAAUCUAUAUGGACACAAUUAUAAUGCAACCAAUCUGCCCCUAAAAUCACAUCAAAAUCCACAAUAUCUAACGGGAUAAGAUUAGCUGGCAUAACUACACCAUCUACCAUCAUUGGACAUCCUGGAUAAACACUAUCAACAUAACAUUUGUCCUCUCUAGGCAUAGCAAACUCUAAAUCAAAUCCUAGAGGUGUAAGGUGAGGUUGUGUCAUUUGAGCAAAUGUAUGAGAAAUCACAGAAUGGGUAGCACCACAAUCAAUCAAAACUCUAGUACAGUGACCAAGAAUAUUUAACGUACCCAUAAUCAAGUUCGGAUGAUUCUAAGCAUCUUGCAGUGAGAUGUGAUUAACACGUCCCUGAGCUUGCUGUCGUCCCUCAAGACCUCUAUUACCUUGAUUACCUCGCCUUUGAGAAGUACGCCUCUGUCCUGUCUAGCUAGACUGCUUAGACGGUACUGCACUACUAGCAGCAACCUCUCCCUGUCGGGGCUGGCCUCCUUGAUACCACUAAGAUCCGUUAGCUGGCACGGAAGGAUAUGAAGUAUAACCUCCAGGAUCUUGGGAAUACCCAGUCUGAAAAUAAGGAUCCUGGGAAUACUGAUUCUGUCCGAAAGCAUAGAGAGCAGCAUCACCCUGAUAGUGGUAAGCACCACCACAACCCGUCUGACCAUAACUGCCUGAUCCAAAGUUCUGCUGAAUUGGCGUUGGAGGUGGCAUAGCAGACUGCUGAGACCUCUGCUGACUCUGUGAACACUGAGCAGCUUUAUGUCUCAUCUGUCCACAAGUGUAGCAACCACCACCACUUCUUCUACACUCUCCAUGAUGUUUGAAAUUACAACUGCGGCACAACGGAUGACCUGAACCACCAGCACCACCAAAGUCUAUCUGCCUCUGAAACCUGGGUCCACCAGUAAACCUUCCACUUCUCCUCGGGCCUGUGACACUAAAUCCUCCACUGGAAGAACUCAAACUCGCUCAAUUUCUCUUGAAAUUAUGGGUCUUACGGGGUCCCUGAGUGGAGAUACCUUUACCCCUAUCAUCUUUCCUCUGAUUAUCAUUCUUAUCUUCAUCUUCCUCAUUAUUACUAGGAAGGUUUUCAGAAUCCUCCAUCCGAACCAAAAUUUCAGAAAACUCAUGAUAAGUGGUGCAAGGAAUUGCACUAGCAAAAGUUCGCCAUUUCCUCUUAGUUCCUUGCUUAAAACGGUGAAGCAUCUCUACUUGAUUACCAGCUGUAUCAGGAUCAUAGCGCGAUAAGUCUGUGAACUUCCUGUAAUACUCAUGCGCCGACAUAUUCUUUUGCUUCAAUUGAGUGAAUUCCUUCUUCUUAUGAUCAAUGUACUCCGGGUGAACAAAUCUUUUCUUAAAAUUCUCUUUGAAUACUUCCCAAUUAGCUGCCUUUUCAGGUGACAUAAUCUGAGUUUGAUUUACCCACCAAGCUGAUGGCUCUCAUCCUAAAAACCAAUUAGUGGUCUCAACCUAUCUACUAGCAGGAAGAUUCCCUUGACUCUGCAUUACCUGAAAGGUCUUCUCAAUAUGGUCUAAUCACUUUUCUACCCCUUCAUGACCCUCAUUACCCAUGAAGCGGUCUAAUUUCAUAUUAUACAUAGUCUCCGGGGGUGUUCUCUGAGGAGGGGGAGGACGGAUUGCAUUCUGAAAGGCAUGGGCCAUCGUUUCCCCUAAUUGAGUUAUAUCAGGGAAAUUAGGCUCAGAAGCACUACGUGAUUCCCUAUGAGGCGGCAUAGUUCUGACAGAAGAUACCAAAAGAUCAUUAGAACAUUAACAAUUUAUACAGGACCGCAAACCUAGGCUCUGAUACCAAACUGACACACCUUGAUCCUAGAAUCAAGGCGUGCUGGCCGUCACGUGGGCGUAACCAAAAGUGCGAUGCGGAAGCAAAAGAUAAAGGAAAUAUGAAGGAAUAAAAACCAACUACUAGCAAAAAUAUCCAACUAACAUGCUAGAGUGAGUUUAAGUGUGAAACACACAUAUUCAGAGCAUAAGUACUAGGUGCAGUCAAGUAAGACUAUAACUAAAUUACAACACCCGCAAGUGAGUCCUACAUUUAAAGAGUCUAUCAGAACGCCGUGGGAAUCCUCAUGAGCCACCAACACUGCUAACUAGAACCUAGAGGGGCGCAAAACAAAAUUGAGUAGGUCAGUAAAACAAAGUUUUUCGAAAACCUUUCAAUUAAUAACAUUUCUAACCCCUCGCUGUAAAACCUGUAUACUUUCCCAGAAAAUAACAUAAUAAGCAUAUAAAUCUUCAUAUAUCUCAAAUCACAAAUCUUUAUCAAAUACCAGAAAGUAUGCCACGCGAUAAACGUCAAUAACAAAAUAAGGAUGCAUCAAUAUAAUAGGUGAAAUAAUGAAUCAACCGGAGACCCUGAAGCUGGUCCUGUACAGUUAAUUCUAUAGCUCAAUAUCCAACCAACCGAAGUCACCACAGUGACCUGUACGGCGCUACUCUACACAUAAAUCAGAACAACCUGAAGUAGUCUGUACGAUAAGAAAUGUGUAAGAAUACGCUCUAGUGCUUCUCUCAUCAACAACUGUAUAAUAAUCUAAAAUCACCUACAAGUCGGAACCACCUCUAGUGGUCUGUACGACAUGUCGGAACCCUCUAAUGGUCUGUACGACAUGCAAUUACUUAGAUCCAAGGUGAGCGUGUGGUGCGGGUGAAUAAUAUAAGCACUAACACCAGGGGUGCAUGUUAUGAGCUUUUAACACAAUUCACAUCAUCAAUAAUUCACCUGAACAACAUAAAACUCACCUGAUACUCACCUGUGCGUCCAUAACACCAUUUCACACAUAUAUAUGCAUCAAUUACUAACUCAGAUAUUUCAUAAUAUGCAUGCAUGUCAUUUUAAAACAUACUUUCAUUUAAAUUCAAUUUCUGGGAAAAAAAUCAAUAGUAUAUAGGUAAAUACAGAAAAUAACUGCCCACUCACUGAUAAGUCGAAGGGUCGUAACCCCCGUGACACCCUUGAAUGCGCUCGCCCUCGUGAUAGGUCUCACCUAUAUGCGAAAAAACUAUAAAAACGUUAUUUAAAGCACAUAACCAACAAUGCGUAAUAACUUCUCAUACGAUGCUCAAUUUGGGUAUAUGAAUAUACCACAGUGACCUACUCGACGUCACGGACAUCGAGGUAUUUUUAGAAAGAAAAAAAAUCAAUAAUGCACGCGCCCCCACAAGUCGGGAGGGGCACGGACCCACAUGCGUCAUCUUCUUCCUCCAGUCGCCGGACUAGUUUCGCCGAUGCCGGAAAACUGGAGAUUUUUCAAUCUCCUUGUUCUCUAUCAAUUAUCCACCAUUUCUUACAAAAUGUAUAUGAAAAUGAAGCCCUAAACAUGUAGAAUCACGUUAUACUACUUUAAGGCUAAAAAACAUACGAAAUCUCACCGGAGAAAAUUCAAGAAAAUCGGCCAACUUCGAACCGUAUGAUCUCGAAGUCCAAAACCUUCAAACUAAGUACUCCGAGCUUCCUUGGGACCUCACUAAGCUCCCUGUAAGCUUAGAAUUCCCUGAAAAUCAACAAUUCACGUGUGCAUGAACAGUGACAUCAAACUGAGGUUCGGAUUUCACGUGAUUUCGAGGGUUUCCAGUUCUAAAACUUGUACCAAUCGACUCAGGAGGUUGCAAUGAUGAAGGAAUCACCUUUUUUACUUCGAUCCGUGAUGUUUUGAGGGAUUUUGGUGCUCGUCCGUACAAUUUGAAGGGAGAGAGAGAGAAACUGAGGGUGAGAGAGGGUACGGGAGAGUGAGAGAGAGAAAUGACAGUUUAUGUGAGUGUGUACGCGUCCCGUGUGUGUGAUCCAUCCAAACCAAACCACAACCCAACUUUCUUUAAGUCUCUAGUUCACUUUAGGUCCAAACUUUAGUAAAAUCACCAAAAAAAACAACUUAAUUAAGUCACACACACACAACCCACUUGACGACCAAGGGUAAUUUUUUAACUUCAUGUCCUCGGAAAUGAAAUUUCGGGAUGUGCUGUGACAACAAAACCUUCUUAUUUUGAUUUGUGCCAACUGCACCAUCUUUGCUAACAGAAACCCAUGCCAAGCAUAAAGCAACAUCUUCCUCACAGGUCCAAUUAUGACCUCUAAUAUGCUCUCUUGCCAUGUUGAACAAUUUGGAAAUGGAAAGAAAUGGUAGAAAGAUAAAUUGGAAGAAAUGUAGGAGAAAAUUGAGUUUUGUCUGGAUGUUUGAACAAAUACAUAGGUAUUUAUAGAGUUUUUGGGUGAAUUUUGAGUUAAAUAAUUUUUUUUUAAUUAUUUUAGCCGUUGGAUUUAAAUUUGGGCAGUUAGAUUUUUUUUUUUUACCGUUAUAUUUGAUUAUAUUCAAUCUCAGCCGUUGGAUUCAAUGUAUUUUAAAAUAACAUAUUCUAAAAAAUUAAAUUUGAAUAUGGACCAUUGGAUCAACCAACGGUCUUUAAAGCCUAGCCCUUGGAUUAAAAUUAUAGCCGUUGGGAUGAUGAUGUUGGCCGACACAUAAUUAACAGUGGGGCCCACCCCUGUCUGGAAAGCCUUGCAAGCCAACCGUGUGGGGUGCGUUGGAGCGUGGGCAGGCCAAGAUUGGCCCAAGUGCCAGCGAGUCCACUCGCAUGGGGGGGUGGAAUUUGGCCCAACUUUGGCAUUUGGCUUUUAGCCCAAUGUUUUAGCAUAGGUUGAGUGGUGUUUGGGGGGGGGAAUAAAUGGGGAAAUUUGGCUUUUAGCGCACCAUUGGAGUUGGUCUAAUAUUAUAUCAGAUGUCAAAAGUUGAGUGGAAAUUUGAUAUGCUUACAACGGAAAGAGAUCCUCUCCGUAUCCCUUCUACCUAAUCCUCAUGACCCACAAAUGCAGAUCUUUGAAAUUUGAUCUAACGGUUAAAGUUAUUAUAACUUUUAAUGGGACUCCCUGUUUGUAGUUGUUAGAUCAAAUUUCAAGGGUCCGAAUUUGUGGGUCAUGAGGCUUAGGUGGAAGGAAUCCAGCAAGGAUCCCUUUCUGCUCACAACAGCUGUCAGGGUUGGAUCUCAGCACAUGCUUUUUCUUUUAGCAUUCAAAUAUUGCAUUUUAUUGCCACUUAGUAGGACAAUCUAUUGGUAUUCCUCUUAACUUGUAAGUGAGAGAUUUUAGAUUCCAUUAUUGCUAGCCCAUUGUGAGGCUAAGCCCACCCACUCCCCUUAGUUUAGAUAAUAUUGUUUGUUAAAAAAAAAAAAACAUACAUACAUAAAUAUAUAUAUAUAUAUAUUGCAUUUUAUUAUUCACCCUCUUGAUCUUAAAAUCAGUUUGAGUACAAAUUUGUAAGGCAAGAUUAUUUUGUCAAUAGCUUUUUAAAAGGAUAAUUGUGAAAGUGGUGGAUUGAUAUGUUGAUAAGAGGUUUUUUUUCAACUUACUGUGUUUAUGAUUUAAAUUCUUUUAUUUAGUAUGGGUUUACAAUAGUACUAUCGCUUAUAAUAGGAAAUAUAAAUAAAUGGAGUAGAGGAACAUCUUAUCCACAGCUCAAUCCUCCGCUGAGAAUUUCGAUUUUAAAUCUAUCGAAUUGGUAAGUAAGCAAAAAUAAUAUUUUCUCAAUUUAAUUGUGACCGUUCAUUUCUCAUUCUAUUGAGUAGUUUGGACUAUUGGAAAAAAAAAAAAGUGUCAUAAACAAUAACUUUGACAUUUUGCUACCACAUUGUGCAUUCGAGUAAAUGAAACUUGGUUUCGAAUUUCACAUCGAAACAAAAUAAAAAAAGCAAAGGGAGUUUCUUAUUUGUGAUCUGUACAUAUUUGUGUAAGGAUGGAGCAUGGACGAACAACUCUGGUAAAGCUGAGUUUGUUGAAUUUUUUCGUUUCUCCACUAUAAAUAUUCUCGCACUCAAAAAAAGUUUCAUAGUUGUUCGACUUUUUUGUCCAUCCCACUCAAAAUUUUCCAACACUACCACAAAGGAGGGUUUUUUCUUUUCUUUCUUUUAUGGACUAUUUUGGUCUUCCAACAACUUGCUAUACACUAGUCAUUAAAAUCUUGUUUCUUAUGCAUUCGUGUUCGUGUAAAUCAAACUUGGUUUCGUAUUUCUUCCUUUUGUGUUUCAACUUGUUUCUAAUGAAAGCACUUUUAGUUAAGUCUUUACGAGCAGAAGUGUUUCUAACAAAAACCAUCCUAAAAGGAAAAACUUAUGAUCUUCCAACAUCCCUAACUAAUAUACGAUGCAAUGUGAAAAGAUUCUUACAUGUAACACCAUAUUGUUGAUAACAAACGCAACCGUUGCUUCACAACAGUAGCAUACUAAAAGGUGUAUUUGGAACUUGUAAGUUCUUCCCACCAAAAGGACCAGAAUGUGGUCUUCCAAGUCUUCGCUAGAUGGGAGCUCGCUAUCACAUUUACUAGCUAGCUAUCUCAAAAUGCUUCAAGUUCUACUUUUCCCUGUACUUUUCUUUUCGGUCAUUUGAACAAGGACAAAACUGAGGCUCAAUGAACAAGUAAAUCUUAGUUAAGUCUUCAUCAAGCAAUCAAUCACUCGUUGAUUCCAGAGAGAUAGGGCCUGUAAUUAUGCCCAAUUGGACUGUGAGGACAAAGACCUGGGAGCUGCAGACUAAUUUGCUCUUCCAAUUCCUUGCUAGACACUGUGGGAGCCGUGGACUAUUUUCGGUCUCCCCACAAUCACUGGUUAUAAUUCAAUCAAGAUUAUGUUCUAUGUGUAAGAUAUAUCGUGUAUUUGUGUUUCAUAUGCAUUCGUGUAAACGGAACUUGAUUUCUAAUUUCACAGCCAAAAGAGAGGAAAAACAGAGCUUCUUAUUUGGAAUCUAUAUUGGUGAGGAUGGAGCAUGCACGUACUACUGGAGGCAGGCUGAGUUUGGUUAAACUCUUUCAUGGCUUCAUUCUUUUAUGCAUGAGCACGCAUCUGGGAUCUGCGGCACUCUCCAGCACUAGUCUUGGAAAUGAAACUGAUCGCAUGGUGCUACUCAAGUUCAAGAAAAGCAUCACUCAAGAUCCUCUCCAUGUCAUGAGCUCAUGGAAUGAAUCCGUCCAUUUCUGCGGUUGGGUAGGCGUUACGUGCAACCAUUACACCAGAAGAGUCUUCAUGUUGAACCUGCAAGAUCAGAAAUUGACAGGCUCUUUACCUCCUUCUAUAGGAAACCUUUCCUAUCUUGCUAGAAUCAACCUAGGAAGCAACAGCUUUCAUGGUGAAAUUCCUGAAGAAAUUGGUCGUCUGCAAAGCUUGCACUUUCUCAACCUUGUCUUACAAUUCCUUCAGCGGGAAAAUUCCAAGAAAUUUAUCCCAGUGUACACAACUAAAGACGAUUGAGUUUCGUUACAAUGAGGUUAUUGGGUCAAUUCCAAACCAACUCAGUUCCUUGUUGAAAUUAAAUCAUAUGCGGCUUUCUAAUAACAAUCUCACUGGAACCGUCCCUGUUUGGAUUGGAAACUUUUCUUCUCUGCAUCAUUUUGAUCUUGGCUAUAACAAUUUUCAAGGAAGCAUACCCAAUGAGCUCGGGCGGCUAACAAGAAUGCAAAAACUCUCAUUUAUAGGAAACAAUCUCUCUGGUACAAUCCCUGCUUCAAUCUAUAAUAUUUCUUCCAUAUACUUGUUAAUAGUUGGUCAAAACCAACUGCAUGGAGAGCUACCGCCAAAUGUUGGCAUUACUCUUCCUAAUCUCAAAAAAUUUGUCGGUGGCAAAAACAAAUUCACAGGAAAUAUUCCUCCAUCAUUGUCAAAUGCUUCUAGAUUGCAACUUUUUGACGUGUGCUAAAAAUGAUCUUACUGGAACACUCCCUGCUCUUGGAUCCUUACAAAGCUUAGCUUUGGCUAAACCUUUAUAGCAAUAGACUGGGAAGUGGGAAAGCUGGCGAUCUUAAUUUUCUCAAAUUCUUGGCUAACUGUACUAGUCUUGAGUUGUUGAUCUUGUACCGACAAUCAAUUUGGAGGAGAAUUGCCUGUGUCCAUUUCCAACCUUUCUACCACACUAGGAAAAUCUUUUUCUGGGGGGAAAUUUGAUACAUGGAAGCAUCACUUUGGGUAUUGGAAAUCUUGUAAAUUUGGUCAGUUUAUGGAAAUGGAGGCUAACUAUUUAAGUGGUAGUCUUCCUGAAGAAAUUGGGAGGCUUCAGAAGUUGAAAAAAUUAUAUUUUGGGCGGCAAUAAUCUUUCUGGGCCAAUCCCGUCGUCCCUAGGUAACAUGACUUCAUUGAUAGGACUCCAUCUAGCCGAUGAUAGAUUUGCAGGAAAUAUACCACCAAGUCUAGGAGACUGCCAACAUCUACUAGAGCUUGACCUUUCUGGUAACAAUCUAACAGGCACCAUACCUAAAGAGAUUUUUGGGCUUUCAUCCCUUUCAAUUUCUUUGAGUAUGUCUGGCAACCAGUUGAUAGGUCCAGUGCCAUCUGAAGUUGGCCUUUUGGUAAAUCUAGUAGAGCUAGAUUUAUCAGGAAACAAUUUAUCAGCUGAAAUUCCCACAAACCUCGGCAGUUGUAUUAUGUUGGUGCACUUGUAAUUUGGAAGGUAAUGAGUUUCAAGGAAUAAUUCCUCAAUCUCUUAAAAGUUUAAGAAGCCUGGAAGAUAUGGAUCUUUCGCGCAAUAACUUAUCCGGGCAGAUUCCUGAAUUUCUAAGCAUGUUUAGAUUUCUUAGGCAUCUCAACCUUUCAUAUAACAAUUUUGAGGGUAAAAUGCCUGAAGAAGGAAUCUUUUCAAAUGCAACUGGUCUAUCAAUGCUUGGAAAUCCUAAGCUCUGUGGUGGUAGCUCGAAAUUACAUUUACCUGCAUGCCCCAACAUAAAGCCUCAUUCAUCUCGAGGACUACUUGCCCGAAAUGUAGUCAUCCCUAUAGCUUGUGCACUUGCCUUCAUAAUUGCUAUGUCUUGCUUCAUUGUUGCCUGCUCAAUGCUUAAAAAGCGAAGAGGUAUACCUGCAGCUUCACGUUCUUAUAAGGAUUGGAAAUCAGGUGUUUCUUACUCAGAACUUGUUGAAUCAACUAACGGGUUCUCUAGGGAAAAUCUUAUUGGUUCAGGAAGUUUUGGUUCUGUUUACAAAGGAGUAGUCCCUAGUGACGGAACUCUAGUUGCAGUGAAGGUAUUAAAUCUUCAACAACAAGGAGCAUCCAAGAGUUUUAUGGAUGAAUGCAAAGCUUUGAGAAGCAUAAGGCACCGUAAUCUUCUCAAGAUCAUAACUGCAUGCUCAAGCAUUGACAAUCAGGGUCAAGAUUUCAAAAGUCUAGUUUUUCAGUACAUGGUGAAUGGAAGUCUAGAUGUUUGGCUGCAUCCUAGAGAUGAUGAGCAAUCUCAAAGCAAGAGAUUGAGCCUUAUCCAAAGACUCAAUAUUGCAAUUGACGUUGCUUCUGCAUUGGAUUAUAUCCACCACCAUUGCGGAACUUCAAUUGUUCAUUGUGAUAUAAAGCCAAGUAAUGUUCUUCUUGACGAAGAUAUGGUGGCUCACGUUGGUGACUUUGGUUUAGCAAGGUUCCUCUUGGAGUCGUCUGAUGAUCCCUCUCAAAGUCAAACCAUGUCAACCGGCUUAAAGGGUUCGAUAGGCUACAUUCCUUCAGGUAUGAGUUUCUAUCACUUCCAGUGUUUUCUCUUCCUAAUAAAUUAUCACUGGGCCAAAUUAAGUCCUAAUGUAAGUAUUGAAUAGCAGAGUAUGGCAUGGGAGGUCAAGUUUCCAUCUUUGGAGAUAUUUAUAGCUUUGGAAUAUUGUUGCUAGAAAUAUUCACAGGAAGAAAACCUACAGAUGACAUGUUCAACGAUGGUCUAAGCAUUCGCCAGUUUGCUACCAUGGCAAUGCCUGACCAUGCCAUGGACAUAGUUGACCCUUCAUUGCUCAUUGAAUGUGGAGAUGUAGAUAGCAGCCGACUUGAAGCAAGAAGGUUGAAGGAAUGCUCAAUUGCAGUGAUUCAAAUUGGACUUUCAUGCUCUGCAAUAUCACCGUUGGAGCGGAUGCUUAUGGAUGUUGCUGUCAACAAAUUGAAGAAAAUUAGAGAAUCAUAUCUCAAUUUAAGAGGUAGAGGCUAGAAAUAUAAAUGUGAGUCUCGUUCCCGUAGACACUGUUGUGCAAGAAAAUUGUGAUUAUCCCCCUUUCGAUUUUAAUCCAACAGUGGAGGACUUAAGAUCAAAUGGUGGGUGACCACAAUUGUUUUCAACCACGGGGUCCAGGAUAACAUGAUUGAUAAAUGUGAGGUUAAGUUUGUUGUAUAAUUAACGUCGUCUCGUGUUUGUGUGCAAGAAAUCAUUUGAAUAAGGAUAUUAUAUGUAUCAAAUUUGUGUGACAUCAUGUAAGGUUGAACUCAGCAUUUCAUAUGGUAUAAUAAGGAAAGAAUGUUUCAUUUGUUUAUGGUUAAUUUUCAAUGAAGUCUAUGACUCUGUUAUCUUUAUUCCGAGUUCACUGAUGCAAUUCUCCCACCAUGUCAUUUGAAUGUCUCACAGGUAACACAAAAAUCUCUAUUGUUACUGGUAUCAAUUUGACCCUCAAUUAGUCAUGCGGUUACUAAUCCGCAUGCUAUAAUAUAGUUGGACGAAAAAAUGAUUUUAAUAUUCAUGAACCGAAAGUGUUAAUGACGAAUGCAUAAGUUAAAACAUGAAUGAAAUGGUAACAGUUGAAAAUUUUCUCCCCAUAAGUUAAAAGGUUUCCCUAUUAGAUGUUUGAGUCAAAAUCUUAAAGUAGCAUAUCAUUUCAAAGAUUUAUUGGUAACGUAGGAUCUGAUCGCAAAUAUUCUUCUACCCAUUGUAACGUUCAGAAGUUAAGAGUUCGGUACACUUGUAAUUAUAAAACAAAGAUUAAAAGAGAUUAUUGGCAAUAGCAAGGAUUAAAAGCAAGAAUGGGAUACCCAUUGCUACAAAAGGAAUGAACAUUUCAAUUGUUGAAUUGAAUCCAGUAAACAAAACACGGUCUCAAAAAAUACAUAAUCUUAUCUCAAACCAGGAUUACUGGAGAGCGCGCAUCAAAAUCUGACCAUUCUGGCAGGGGCCUUUUUUCUUAGCAAGUAAUGCAUAUAUUACCACAGUUUGAGAAGUACAGCGAACUGUCGCAAAUUUAGAGGAUUCUGGGAAAGACCUGCAACAUAGUUUCGAAUGAAUAAAAUAAAAAUCUAGUACAGUAAAAGUAUUUUACAAGUAUUUUACAAAUGAUAUAUAUACAUAUAUGUGUGGUCAUUCACAAUCCAUUCAGCAUACCUGAAAACUAUCUGGAGGGAAGACGAGUUGUAUUCACAACCAGACAAAAAUCGUUCUACAUCUUCUGGAGCUGCAGUUUGAGGGAUUCCUUGAGUAAAACCUGAUAAUAGAAAUCAAGUCCAUUUCAUGUGAUAGCAAAUUAGAUUACAUUCAAGUAUUGAUGGCAUAUACUUGACGUAGGGGAAAUAAUAACUCCAAAAUACAAAGAAUCGAUCUGCAUAUAUGGAGCCUGUUUCUCUUCGAUCAAUAGACUCAAUACAUACGCCAGCCUCAGUUACUGACUUUCUUGCGAAGGCUCAUGCAAACAUACUAAAGCAAAAAUUCACUAGGUUGCCACAUAAUAGUUCCAGCGAUUCUGUUUUCACGAAGAAGCAACUGUAUCCAGAUCAAAAAACCCUACUUAAACAAAAGAAUUUGAAUUCAUUAGGUUCAGCCUUGAAAGCCGAAUAUAUGGCACUCUGAGGAUGAAUAUGUUAUCAGUGUUUGAAGGCAUCAAUCCUGUCUUACUACUAAGUCCAUUCCACAAAGCAAGCAAUUUUGUUGCAUGAAGACCAACUCCGAACACGACCAACUUGAUCAAACAUUUCAUUAAAAACAAUAAUUAGCAUGCAAUAGAAAACCUUGACUUACAGUUUUUCCAUCAUAGGAAGUAAGAUUGUCCCACUGCGAUCGGUUAGCCUGUCAUUCACAAACCCAGAAUCAGCAUACCCUAGCUGCAUUAUCAAAAGCUUUCCAUGACUGGAACUGCACUACCCUAACAACCGAAAUGCAUACCCAAAUCAUCAACCAAACAAUUUUGUAGCAUCUACACAAAUUUAUCUAUUGCAUUGCAUAACAAAUUAUCAAUUUACUGGAAAAUAAACAAAAUAGAGAAUACGCAAUUUACAUCCCCAUCGACGUAAAGGCUUGAUUGUAAUCAACUUUAACAUCCUCCAGCCUCAAAUUACAGCCUUCCAGCAUAUUCACAACAUCGUUCUUCAGCGUAUUCCUCGAGUUUCCGAGCAGCUUCCCAUACACCAAACCCUAAAAUAUCAUAUAUACACAUUACCAGAUUCACCAAAGAAAUGAGAAAUGAGAAAUGUCCGUGGCAGUCGGCCGUCGGCAGGUCAGUUUACCUGCGGUUGGGGUUCGAAGAAAUGGAUCGAUCGGUGAGGCGUCGUGCAUCUGAUCGGACGGCGGGGUCUUGAGUUGGGUUCUCCGCUUUCGUUGAUAACCGUCUCCCCGGUUCGCAGAAGACCGAAGGGAAGGUGCAGUUCUGCGCCACGGCCAUACGGGCUGCGACGUUGGACAUGAUUGCAGCGCGAAGAAGACCGAGCUUCCAAAUUUUUGUUCUAUGGUGGUUGUCGUUUUGAAAAAGAGGAAUUUGAGAAGUGCCCGUAAUUGUAGCGAAAUUAUAUAUUUUGCCCCUGGUAAGCUUAUAGUGGGCUGUGGCUUUUAUUUCAUUAUAUUAGGCUUGGAGGAAAGCCCAGGUUUGAAAUGUCUUAAGCUCAGCCCAAAAGAAUGAAUAGCCUUCUAUGAUAAGGCCCAAGUGAAGCUAAACAAGUAUACAAUGUACGGAAAUUCUAUCAUGCGGACUCUAAUGGUGCACGUAAUAAAUAAAUAAUUUUUUUAUGUUUGUCGAAGUGACCAUAGGCAUCGAGAGUACUAUUUUUCUUUUUACUUAAGUGUUGCAGGAAAGAAUAAAUACAUUAUAAAACACUAAGUGCAAAAUUAAAUGUUCUUAACCAUUUGAAUUACAAGGCCGUUGCAACUCUAUAAUGUCGCGUUUACUAAUCCGUAAUCAAAUUGAGAGGAAUUGAAUUGAGGAGGAAUUGGAUUGAAGAGGAAUUGAAAUGAGGUGGAAUCAGAAUCAGAUUCCUGUUAAAAUUGUUUACUAAAACUGUUUGGAAUCGGAGUAGGAAUGAUGUUGAAUUCAUAUAAGUUGUUUACUAAUUCACUUCAAUCGGAAUGAAAAUUAGGUUGAUUACUAAAUUGCCCUUACAUAAAUAAAUUAUUUUCAUACUAAUUAAUUAAAUUAAAUUCUUAAUUAAAUUUAUAUAAUAAAAUUCAUCUAUAUAAAAAUAUAUAAAUAGGUUUUAUUUAUUUAUUAAAAGAUGGUAGAAAUGAUGUUGAGUCAAUAUAAAUUGUUUAAUAAUUCACUUUAAUCGAAAUGAAAACUAGGUUGAUUACUAAAUUGCCCUUACAUAAAUAAAUUAUUUUCAUACUAAUAAAUUAAAUUAAAUUCUUAAUUAAAUUCAUCUAUAUAAAAAUAUAUAAAUAGGUUUUAUUUAUUUAUUAAAAGAUGGCAUAAUGAGUGUCAAAUGAAGGGCAAUGUUGGGAUAAUAAGAAACAAGUGAGGGCAUAAUUGGUAAAAGAAAUCCAUUCCGGAUUCCUCAAGUGUCAAGGAAUUGAAAUACCUCCCUCAUGUAGGGAGUCCAAUUCCUCCAAAAUUAGGAGUUGGAUUCCUUAAUUCGUGUGGACCCCCCAUGUAUUUUGAUUCCCCAAGAUUACGUAAACAAAGGUGUAUCCCGUAAUCAGAAUCCAAUUCCGUAAAUUGAUUCCGAUUACGGGUACGUAAAACUUGAAUUGUUCGGGUUAAAGAGACAUAAAUACUUGAACUUAUAUGCUUCUGUUCUUCACAACUUCAAUCAAGAGCAAAUAUAUUUGCAAGUUCUGAUGGAAUUUCUCUUGGAAUCCAUACAAACAGCAAUAUAGAAUAAAACCACCAACAAAUUAUAUUCGAUUAUUUCUAGAUUUCUCUGUUUUUGUUCAAAUUCUCUCGAGAUUAGUGAUAUAUCAAACUGAAAUAAAGAUUGCGUCAAUAUUAUAUAAAUAUUGGACAAGACUUCUCACAACAUUUAAACCUAAUACUACUAAUUGGAAAUUUUAAUAGAAAAAUAUACAAUCACGUCCAAGUAUAAUACAAUUAUAAUGUAAUAUGACGCUUGUAAUGAGACUAAAUACCACUAAGGUUUCGUUUGGCACGUCAUAUAAGACCAUCGGAUAUACUAAGAAUACAAAACUGAUGUUUGGUAAAUUUUGUAUUAAAUAAGCACCAAAUCAUUUAAUCCAGCCGCACCAUUUUAAUACCCCUUAAUCCAGCCCCACCAUUUUAAUACCCCUCCCACUCGCUUAAUUAUCCACUCCAAAACCUUGGUACUAUUAGUCGGACAAGGCCAAAGAAAAAUCACGCCCAUUUUUCUCCAACCUAUCCUGCCAUCUGCUCUUGGGCAUCGCGACCUCUGAUCAACACCAAGCAGAUGCAAAAAAAGAUUAAGAUAGAUAUCAUAUUGAACGAUCCACAUCAAGUAGAUGCGAACAGAGUACCGAAGGUAGCAGAUCGAACCCAGGGCAUCGUGACCUCUGUUCCUGAGCAUGGCGACCUUCGUUUCUGUUCUGACAUCUAUGGUGGUGGUUCGAAUAUUUCGGCUUGUGGCUUAAUUGCUAAUUGAUUUUGUUGAUGUGAGGGAAUUAAAUUCAAAAUUGGGAAAGAUUUCAUGUGGGUGAGGUGUAAUGGCUGCUGGGAUUUCAAAGACGGUAUUUCUGAUGUGGAUUAAGGUCUCAAUGGAUUAGAGACCACAAUGGGAUACGAGGAAGCCAGCGGAUCACCAAUUUUCUCUUAACAAAAUAAAAGUUCGAAGUUCUCAAACGCUGGAAUUUAGUCAGUAUUAUCCUAUGAUUAAUUAUUCUAUCCUACUGAAAUCAUCAGUACAAUCCGAACUACCAAACAAGCUAACAAUCACUGGACUGGACAUGAUAAUUUAUCAGCCUAGUUCUGUGUUUGUACGGUGCUUGGAUUAAGAGUAAUGAGACUGGGGACUCAGCACCAACAAACUUCUUCGCUAGGAGGUCUUAGCGAGACCCUUAAUAACCGUGGGACUACUAUGCCCUCCCUCCACUUCCUUUGCUCUCUGCUAUCCAACAAAAUCACACCACCAAAACCACUCUCACUCUCUCCUCGUCCUGCUCCACUGCAACAGUGUCUCCCUAAGUGAGCAAAAUCAGAUCCAGCGACUGCGUUGUUUGCUCUCUGCCACGGGUUCAAAGCAGGAAGACGAGGACAUUCUUUAGAGCAGUUCCAUCGGGGAACUGAUAGGCCAGCAUCCAGCAAAAAAACCAGCCCGGCACCCAGGCUAUCCACUUCAGCGGCGCAUUUUGACUGGUACCCAGCCCAAGCCAGGCAAGAUACCGGCCUAAAAUCGACAGAGGUAGGAGACGGCUCAUCUGACGCCAUGCUAACGUCAUGGCUACCGAGGAGGAGCCCAUGCGAGGCAGCCGAGGAGGAGGGUCGGGUUUUGGCGGGUUCAGCCUCCGGAGCUUCUUCUCGUACCGGAUCUUUGUCUCGGCUAUGUUCUCUCUCCUCUUCAUUGCCACGCUCUCGUUAUCCUCACCACAAAUCCUUCAACUCCGCACCACGACUCUGUAUGUAUUGCCCCCUCUUCCCUAAAUCCAUUUUCUCCCAAUUAUUUAUUUAAUUAAUCAAGGUUUAGAUUGAAAUUUCGAAGCUUUAGCAAAACCCAGAUGUUAAUUUCACUGAUUAAUCACAACCCACGUUCUAAUUUUCACAUCUGAACAAAUCCUAGAUUGGAACAAAAAAAAGUAGGAAGAAGAAGAAGAAGACGGGAGUCAGAGAGAAGAAGAAGAAGGGAGUCAGAGAGAAGAAGUCAGAAAUUAAAAAAUUAAAUUGGGUUGCAGUGAGUUUCUGGCGAAGGGAUGGGAAGUUGCAGUGAGUUUUGGGGAGUUUUGGGGUUGGAGCAGUGAGUUUUGGGGUUGGGAUUCAACCACACCUAAGUCGGGUUUUUUGUGUGUGGAAGAGAUGGGAAGUUGCAGGAGAUGGAAGGGAAGAAGAAGUCAAAAAGUAAAAAUUAAAUUAUUAUUUUAUAAUAAAAAUAAUAAUAUUUUAAUAAAUUGACCAGCCUAUUUUUUUUUAGGGAUGGAGAUGCUUUGGUCUAUUACUGUUUAUUGGGGUCUAUUACUGUUCAUUUGAGUGGAUAAAUGCGCUGAGUGCUGGCGCAAAGUCUUUAUGGCAAAGGAACAGUGGGAAUCCUCCCCAGGCUUUGAUUUUGAAAAUCUAGACGAGUAUGAUCCCGAAUAUUAGGAUUAUUUUUGGUAAUCAGGGACCUCUUCCAGCGGCGACGUUUUCUCACAUCGGGUUGUGCCUGGUUCCCAAAUUCGAAGGGGAAGAGAAAAUGAAAAGUAAAGAACAGAAAUACCCAGAAGCCUCUGGAAAGGAGGAAUAUUCGGGAAAAUGAGGGCAAAAGAAAAUGAAAAUAAAAGGGAAAAGAAAGAAAAAAAAAAAGAAAAGGAAAGGUAGGGGAAGAGAUAAUGAUGAAAUGACAAAAUAAUAUUUAGAUUUAAAAAAUAAUUUAGUCCAUAACUUCGUCCAACACCGCAUCAAACUCUUUAUUAUUCUUAUACUAGUUAGACCAUGCCAAACCAAUACAGCUUAGUCGAUGAAGUUAAUCCAAUUCGAGAUAGUCCGGUGCAACAAACACAGAGUGGACUAUUGCUUUUCUUUCAUUAUAUCGAUCUUGAGGAAGCCCAGGCUGAAAAUGUUUUAAGCUCAACCCAAAAUAAUGAUUAGUCUUCUCUUCUGUGGGCAUGCCCAAGUGAAGCAAAACAAGUAUACAAUGUACUGAAAUUCUCUCAUGCGGACUCUCUUGGUGCACAUCAGGGUGUUAGUGUGAGUGCUUAGUCGGUCGGCCUAAUGGAGCAAAAUAAGUAUGCAAUGUACGAAAAUUCUCUUUGCGAGCUCUACUGGUUCACAUUAAUUGCGGGUGGCCAAUUCACUGCCCCCAAUGAAACAAAAUAAGUAUAUAACGUUAUUGAAAUUCUCUCCUGUAGACUAUAAUGGUGCACGUAAUAACUAAAUAGAUUUUGUAUGUUUGUCGGAGUAACAAUAGGCAUUAAGAGUACUAUUUUUCUUUUUACCCAAAUGUUGUGGGGAAGAAUAAAUACAUCAUAGAAUACUAAGUGCAAAAGUGAAUGUUCUUAACCAUUUGAAUUACAUGGCCUUGCAACUAUAUAAUAUUGGUUUAAUUAGAUUAAUAGUCCCCAUGUUUAUAGGGUAGUUAGAGUAUAUAACAGAACCCUUUAGAUUGUGACAUUUGUCAAUAUUAGAGUGGUUGGAUUACAAGAAUUUGUUAGUCCUAACUGUAAAGAUUAGGAUACAGUUGAGCUUGUUGUAAGAAGAUAAGACUAUAGAAGUCUGAAUUGAGUGUGUAAUUGACUAUUAAGAAAAUAUAUGAUAAAAGUGCUUUCUUCCUCUUUGAGUAUCUCCUUCUUCUUUUUCUUCUUCUUCUUUCUUCUUAGUUCUUCAUGUUUCUACACCAUGUUUAACAUGGCGUCACUCACCAUUAAAGCUUAGAUUGUAAGCUUCUUCGAUUCUAGUUUCUCAUGCUUCCGCUACAUUUCGACGUCUACUUCUCUGAGAUUCUGUGUUCUUUGUGAUUUUCUGGGUUCUUGAUUCUUGCUCGUCUUUAUGAUCUUUCCUCUUCAAAUUCUUACCCGCCAAGUGUUUGUUCAUUUUCCUCAAUGAAUUCUUUUCAACAUGGUCACUGCUAAUCAACUGCAAAUCUUGCAAUCCCCAAUCACUGGGUUGAUUUCGUCGGUGUCAACAUCGGUUUCUGUUAAGUUGGAUGAUACCAACUAUCUUCAAUGGCAUUUUCAGAUGAAGUUGAUGCUUGAAGGAUAUGGGAUCAUGGAUUUUGUUGAUGGUACAAAUCCGUGCCCUUCUUAGUUUUCAUCUUCUUGCUCCAGCGACUUUGAGGUUGUUUCUGAUAUGAUCUGUAAUUAGUGAUUAGCUUAAUCACUAUUAAAGGUUUUAAUCUUGGGAUUAUUAGGCUUAUUCCUGUUUUAGUGAAGUUUGUUAUGAUUAGCCAGCUAGCAUAAUGAAUUGUGACUUGUAUAAGAGCACUAGCUCUCACCAUUGUAAACAGAUCAGAAUUUACAAACAAAAUGUAUUGGACCUUUGCUCACUUCUACUUUGUCUUCUCCAUUUGCCAUUUCUAUUGUUACUUGCAGGUUGAAUAAGGUCCUGAGAUUUGUGAACCUAUCAGCUUAUACUGGGUUGGGUCCAACAAUUGAAUUUGAUGAUUAUAAGGUUUGGAAGAUGCAUGACAGGGCUUUGAUGCAACUCAUUACCGCAACCUUGUCUUCUAUGGCUAUCUCUUGUGUAAUUGGAAAUACAAGUGCAAGAGACUUAUGGGUGCGUCUCCAAGAGUUCUCUAUUGUUAGCAAGACUUCUAUUUUUCAACUUAAGUCUAAUCUUCAAACAAUCAAGAAAGGGUCUGAUUCUGUGAAUGUGUAUCUGCAACGCAUGAAAGUAGCAAGGGAUUACCUUGUUGCUGCUGGAAUCAAGUUUGAAGAUGAGGAUAUUGUAAUCUUAGCACUUAAUGGUCUUCCGGCUGAAUACAACACCUUCAGGUGCGUAAUUUGAGGAAGAGGGAAUGUAUUUGCACUUAAAGAGUUUCGUGCUCAGUUACUUGCAGAGGAAGCAACAAUUGAGAGCAAUUCUUGCAGUUCAUUUCCUACUGCAAUGAUGGUUAAAAAUCAAGAUUCUAACUUUGGGGCUUCAUCUUCUGCAUAUCAAGGGUCUAUCAAUUCUAGAUUUCAGAACUCAAAUGGCUUUCAUGGGAAUUCUGGACAAUCUCAAUUCUACAAUGAUGGAAUAAGUCAAAGUAUAAAGGUAAAGGCAAAACUGCAUAUAAUCAAGGGCAAAAGUAUUACAACAAUCAAGGCCAUAUGUAUUAUAAUUCCAAACCAAUUGUUCAUGACUAUGCUCUUGGAAUUCUUGGUAAUCCAUCUCAGAUUAAUAAUGGUGCUUCAUUGUCUAAUGUCACUUGUUAGUUAUAUAAUCAACAAGGUCAUAAUGCUGCUACUUGCAUAUAUAGAGAUGUUGAUUCUGAUUUUGAGAAAUGCCAAAUUUGUGACAGGAAUAAUCAUAUUGCAAAAACAUGCUUCUACAAAAAUAAAGCAAGAAACAAUCAGUCACAGUUGAUUACCAUGAAUGUUGUUUUUUCUUGGUUCUAUGCAGCCUCAGUAUAUGAAUCCUAUGCCUUCCAUGAUGAACAUGGUUCCUUCUCAUAUGUCUAAUAUGAUGAAUAUGGGGCAUAGAGAUUGAUCGUCGUGGAUAGGAAGAAAUUGUAACGAUGGCCAAGUUCAGUUCUAUUGCUGAAGCCAAAUAGCAUCGUAGGAAGUUGGGGCAUAGAGAUUGAUUGUCGUGGAUAGGAAGAAGUUGCAGCGAUGGCCAAGUUUAGUUCUAUUGCUGAAGCCAAACAGCAUCGUGCAAUUUGCAGGUUGGGUUUUCAAUAUUCUAUUGCUGAAGCCAAACAACAUUGUGCAAUUUACCGGUUGGGUUUUCAAUAAUGUUAGAAGAGUAUUUGAGUUAUGUGAAGGCGGACAAAUGUGACGCUCAAUGGGUGGCAAUCAUGGCAGUAUUCCAUGCACACGUCUUUCCCAACGGGCAUGUUUUUUAUGACGGCUUAUGAAACGUUAUGAUUGGAAACCCUAAGCCAUUGCAUGUGUGCCUAUCAUUGUAUCUAUUAAGAAACUCAAUAGUCUACUAAAUUCUUUUCUUCCCUCUUUUUCCCUUGUUUGCAACAACCAAAUUCUUUUCUUAACCAACAUUUAUCAUCAAUGGACUUUCUAUUACUAUAUUCCCGAAUCCCAAACCCCGCUGCAAGUGCAUAAUUGUUGUAAACCUAUACCCUUCAUUUAACAAAUCAAACUCCAUUCUCAAUUUCGGUCUCAACUUUUCAUCUACUCUUGGUACCACAAAUUCAACCCUUCUAGCACCUAAUUCAUCCCUGCAUCUACGUCCUCUCUGUCGACGACAAUUUCUUGUACUUCUACCUCACCCCCCCUAAUCGAAUUAUACUUCAAUGUCUACCUACAACAAAGUUACAUAAGCACAACACAACUUACCAUAAGCUAGAACAACGUUUACACCUAUAUAUCUAAAAUCCACUUUCACGAUUUCAACCAAAUCCACUGAUAGCCACUGACCAUUAUGUUUUCAAAUCCCAGGUUAAAAAAAAAAAAACCACACUUUAAUGGAAAUGCAUUAUAACAUAGGUUCUGCAAUUAUUCAAACACUCACCUUCAAAAUCUGGGUUUCUUCUGACCAAACCCUUUGUAUGGGCUCGCCAUGCACUUGUAUGGUCUGGAAAGGCUUACUUGUCUUACAGUUUAGCUGUUUUAUCCGUUUUGGUUUUAUUGCUUGUUGCUUUGUGAGUGAACCGACCGUGUCAACUCCAAUCCAAGCACAUCUUCAAUCCUUUAUAAAUCGAGCGCGCACACACCCUUCAACACUUCCAUCUUUCUGCCCUUCUUCCUAGGCAGAGAAAAUCCUAAUUUACCCCUCCCUAGCCGUCACAAACACACCCAGUGAACAAAAAAAAUUUAAAGUCAUGGGAUUACCAAGUCGCAACUGCAGCCCAACUUCGAUCUAUCGCAAAUCCAUUCCAAACUCCAACUCCCUAUGUCUGCCUCUCUUCCCCUCUUUUUCCCUCUUCAAUGCGCGCAACGGCCAACCUACUUGCCCCCUGUUUCCCUCCAUCAAACAAAAACAUGCUAACUGAAUAAAAAAUUUUGAAUUUUCUAAAUGCACCGGUCACAACGACCCAGUUCUACUCAUUAGCUCAUCCAUUUUCAGCCGUUAGAUCCUUGUCCACAUGGAUUGUCUGCAAGACACGCCCUUCAUUAAAUUGGGCUUGAGAAAAGCACAUGUUUGAAAUGUCUUAAGCUCGGUCCAAAAUAAUGAAUAGUCUUCUUGUGAGCAGGCCCAAGUGAAGCUAAACAAGUAUACAAUGUAUGGAAAUUCUUUCAUGCGAACUCUUUUGGUGCACAUCGGGGGGUGUUAGUGUGGGUGAUCGGCCGAUCGGCCUAAUGAACCAAAAUAAGUAUUUAUUGUACGGAAAUUCUCUUUGCGAACUCUACUGGUGCACAUCAAGUGGGGGUGGCCAAUUGACCACCCCCGAAUGAAGCAAAAUAAGUAUAUAACGUUAUUGAAAUUCUCUCAUGCGGACCCUAAUGGUGCACCUAAAAAAUAAAUAAGUUUUGUACAUUCGUCGCAAUAACCAUAGGCAUUGAGAGUACUAUUUUUCUUUUUACCCAAGUGUUGCAGGGAAGAAAACUACAUCAUAGGACACCAACUGUAAAAGUGAAUGUUCUUUUCUUCUUUUUUGGCUUUUGAACAAUAAAAAGGUGAAUGUUCUUAAUCAUUUAAAUUACAAGGCAGUUGCGACUAUAAAAUAAUGAGAGUCUUCAUUCAAAGGGAUCCCCAUUUUUUGUAUAUAAAGAUGAGAACUAGUUGGCGGGUCCAUACUAUAUCGAACUUCAACAGCCUAAUUGUUUAUUUUUCAAGUCUUCAUUCAUAGAUCAUCCUUGCAAAAAGGCAAUCUAAACUCGAAAACAUUUAGUCAUUUGAUUGUCUUGAUAAAAUUUCAAUAUUUCUUAUAACAUAGUGUUCGUCAAUUUCUUUAACCUCAAUUAGAUAACUCAAACAUUUCCGAUUUCGCUAAUAUUUUGCAAAAGAGUCUUGAUGUUUAACCUGCAAGAUAAAAAAAUUGGCAGGCUCUUUACCUCCUUCUAUAGGAAAUCUUUCCUAUUUUCCUAGAAUCAACCUAGUAAGCAACAAUUUUCAUGGUGAAAUUCCUGAAGAAAUUGGCCGUCUGCAAAGCCUACACGUUCUCAACUUGUCUCACAAUUCCUUCAACGGAAAAAUUCCAGCCAAUUUAUCCCAGUGCACACAAUUGUGUGAUACUGUGACGACAAUCCUUCUCUAGAAAACAACCAGCAACCCUAAAUUCACUAGGAAGAAAGAGAGAGUAAACUCACGUUUGAUUGAUAAUAAGCAUCAAUCCUUACACCAAUAAGAUGUAUUUAUACUUUCAAAACAUAAAACCAAACCCUAAUGUUCAAAUAGGAAAUAAAACAAACAAUUAACAAAGUUCUAAAAGUAUCCCUAUAACAUAAGCUCUGCUUUGAAAUAGUAAACGAAGGAUUUUAGUCAAACUUGUGUUGUUCUCUUCAAAAGGACAUAUUAUAGGCUCUAUUAUGAUACCAACGACUAGACUUGCAUUAUGCCAGCCUUGUUGUCAGUUUUGCGUCUUCCGAGCUACGCUUCGAUGUUUGAGUUUAACUUCCAAUGUAACUUAUCAUUUCAAAGCUUACUGGUAAUUAAUCCAGAUUUGAUCGCCAAUAAUCUUGUACACAUUUGAUUGUCGCUUUUCCAUGGCCUUUGCUAGUUUUUUGCGGAUUAUCAGCUAGAGACUAGAGUAUAUGAGAUAUGACAAUGCUCAAAUGUUUUGUAAAGCACUUUGGGAUGACUGAUGAGAUUAAACUAAUAAAGUAGGUAGUGCAUUGAGUGGUAGGCCCUGCAGGUAUAGAAAAUAAGUAUGAGUCCAAAUUACAAACAUCUUGAAUGUGAAAACUAAUAAAGUAGGUAGUGCAUUGAGUGGUAGGCCAUCGACAGAUGUGGAUUGAGAGGAUGUUUGGAAUUGUUUUUGGAAGACUAAUAACAUUUUAUGACAAUUACAAGCAUUUCUGAUUAAGUUUGGUAGAAAACUUAAAAAUGCAUCUGGCUCAUAGAAGUACUUUCUAAAGAGUUGGUGCUUAUUCAAUAAACACUUCCAAGUUAUUAUAAAAGCAAUUGAAUUUUAGUAAUAAACAAAUUUGAACAUGUUUCUAAUGAAAGUACUUUUAGUAGAAGUCUUUAUGAGUAGAAGUGUUUCCUACAAAAACAAUCCGACAAUGUGAAAAGAUGCUUACACGUAACACUGUAUUGUUGAUAACAAACACAACCGUGGCAUCACAACGGUAGCAUACUAAAAGGUGUAUUUGGAACUUGUAAGUCCUUCCCAUCAAAAGGGCCAGAAUUUGGUCUUCCAAGUCUUCGCUAGAUGGGAGCUCACUUUCGGUGGUCGUCACAUUUACUAGCUAGCUAUCUCAAAAUUCUUCAAGUUCUAUUUUUCCCUAUACUUCUCUUUUGGGUCAUUAGAACAAGGACAAAACUAAGGCCCAAUGAACACGUAAAUCUUAGUUUACUCUUCACCAAUUAGAAAACCAUUCGAACCCUUCAAACACGUAAAAUAUUAGUUAAGUCUUCAUCAUGCAAUCAGUCACUCGGUGAUUCCGUCCCGAGGUAGGGCCUGUAAUUGUGCCCAAUUUGACUGUGAGGACAAAGACCUUGGAGCUGCAGACUAAUUUGCUCUUCCAAUUCCUUGCUAGACACGGUGGGAGCUGUGGACUAUUUUCAGUCUCCUCGCAAUCACUGCCUAUAAUUCAGUUAAGAUUAUGUUCUAUGUGAUAAGAUAUAUCGUGUAUUUGUGUUUCGUAUGCAUUCAUGUAAACGAAACUUGAUUUCUAAUUUCACAGCCAAAAGAGAGAAAAAAAACAGAGUUUCUUAUUUGGAAUCUAUAUUUUGGUGAGGAUGGAGCAUGCACGUACUACUGGAGGCAGGCUGAGUUUGGUUAAACUCUUUCAUGGCAUCAUUCUUUUAUGCAUGAGCAUGCAUCUGGGAUCUGCGGCACUCUCCAGCACUAGUCUUGGAAAUGAAACUGAUCGCAUGGCACUACUCAACUUCAAGAAAAGCAUCACUCAAGAUCCCCUCCAUGUCAUGAGCUCAUGGAAUGAAUCCGUCCAUUUCUGCGGUUGGGUAGGCGUUGCGUGCAACCAUUACACUAAAAGAGUCCUCAUGUUGAACCUGCAAGAUCAGAAAUUGACAGGCUCUUUACCUCCUUCUAUAGGAAAUCUUUCCUAUCUUGCUAGAAUCAACCUAGGAAGCAACAGCUUUCGUGGUGAAAUUCCUGAAGAAAUUGGUCAUCUGCAAAGCCUGCACUUUCUCAACUUGUCUCACAAUUCCUUCAGUGGGAAAAUGCCAACCAAUUUAUCCCAGUGUACACAACUAAAGACGAUUGAGUUUCGUUACAAUGAGCUUAUUGGGUCAAUUCCAAACCAACUCAGUUCCUUGUUGAAAUUAAAUCAUAUGGGGUUCGAUCAUAACAAUCUCACCGGAAACAUUCCGAUUUGGAUAGGGAACUUUUCUUCUCUGCAUCACUUUGAUCUUAGCUUUAACAACUUGCAAGGAAGCAUACCCAAAGAGCUCGGGCGGCUAACAAGACUGCGAAGAUUCACACUUCAAGGAGGCAAUAUCUCUGGUAUAAUCCCUGCUUCAAUCUAUAAUAUUACUUCCAUAUCAAUGUUUGGUGUUGUUCAAAACCAACUGCAUGGAGAGCUACCGCCAAAUGUUGGCAUUACUCUUCCUAAUCUCCAAAUAUUUGCCGGUGGUGACAACAAAUUCACAGGAAAUAUUCCUGUAUCAUUGUCAAAUGCUUCUAGACUACAAGUUUUUUCCUUUCCUAAAAAUGGUCUUACUGGAACACUCCCUGCUGAAAAUUUUGGAUCCUUACAAAGCUUAGUUAAGCUAAACCUUGGUGAAAAUAGACUGGGAAGUGGGAAAGCUGGCGACCUUAACUUUCUCAAAUUCUUGGCUAAUUGUACAAGUCUUGAGUCGUUAAUUCUUGCGGAAAAUCAAUUUGGAGGAGAAUUGCCUGUGUCCAUUUCCAAUCUUUCUACCACAUUAAGAUCUUUUACUCUGGGGGUAAAUUUGAUACAUGGAAACAUCCCUUUGGGUAUUGGAAAUCUUGUAAACUUGACCACCAUCCAAAUGCAGUAUAACUAUUUCAGUGGUAGUCUCCCUGAAGAAAUUGGGAGGCUUAAGAAGUUGAAAGGAAUAUUUUUGGGCGGCAACAAUCUUUCUGGGCCAAUCCCGUCGUCCCUAGGUAACUUGACUUCAUUGUUAAAGCUCCAUCUAGAAUUCAAUAGAUUUGCGGGAAAUAUACCACCAAGUCUAGGAGAUUGCCAUAAUCUACUACAGCUCGACUUUGAUGGUAACAGUCUAACAGGCACCAUACCUAGAGAGAUUUUUGGGCUUUCAUCCCUUUCAAUUUUUUUGAGAAUGUCUGACAAUUAUUUGAUUGGUUCACUACCGUCUGAAGUUGGUCUUUUGGUAAAUCUAGUAGAGCUAGAUGUAUCAGGAAACAAUUUAUCAGCUGAAAUUCCCCCAACCCUUAGCAGUUGUAUUAUGCUGGUGAGUUUGUAUUUGGGAGGUAAUGAGUUUCAAGGAAUAAUUCCUCAAUCUCUUAAAAGUUUAAGAAGCCUGGAAGAGAUGGAUCUUUCGCGCAAUAACUUAUUCGGGCAGAUUCCUGAAUUUCUAAGCAAGUUUAGAUUUCUUAGGCAUCUCAACCUUUCAUAUAACAAUUUCGAGGGUAAAAUGCCUGAAGAAGGAAUUUUUUCAAAUGCAACUGGUCUCUCAAUUCUUGGAAAUCCUAAGCUCUGUGGUGGCAGCUCGAAAUUACAUUUACCUGCUUGCCCCAACAUAAAGCCUCAUUCAUCUCGAGGACUACUUGCCCGAAAAGUAGUCAUCCCAGUAGCUUGUGCACUUGCCUUCAUAAUUGCUAUGUCUUGCUCCAUUGUUGCUUGCUCAAUGCUUAAAAAGCGAAGAGGUAUACCUACAACUUCACGUUCUUAUAAGGAUUGGAAAUCAGGAGUCUCUUACUCAGAACUUUUUGAAUCAACUAACGGGUUCUCUAGGGAAAAUCUUAUUGGUUCAGGAAGUUUUGGUUCGGUGUACAAAGGAAUAGCCCCCGGUAAUGGAACUCUAGUUGCAGUAAAGGUAUUAAACCUUCAACAACAAGGAGCAUCCAAGAGUUUUAUGAAUGAAUGCAAAGCUUUGAGAAGAAUAACACACCGUAAUCUUCUCAAGGUCAUAACUUCAUGCUCAAGCAUUGACAAUCAGGGUCAAGAUUUCAAAAGUCUAGUUUUUGAGUACAUGGUGAAUGGAAGCCUAGAUAUGUGGUUGCAUCCGAGAGAUGAUGAGCAAUCUCAAAGCAAGAGAUUGAGCCUUAUCCAAAGACUCAAUAUUGCAAUUGAUGUUGCUUUAGCAUUGGAUUAUCUCCACCACCGUUGCGAAACUUCAAUUGUUCAUUGUGAUAUGAAGCCAAGUAAUGUUCUUCUUGACGAAGAUAUGGUAGCUCACGUUGGUGACUUUGGUUUAGCAAGGUUCCUCUUGGCAGAGUCUGAUGAUCCAUCUCAAAGUCAAACUAUGUCAACCGGGUUAAGGGGUUCGAUAGGUUACAUUCCUCCAGGUAUGAGUUUCUAUCACUUCCAAUGUUUUCUCUUCCUAAUAUUUUAUCACUAGGCCAAAUUAAGUCCUAAUGUAAGUAUUGAAUGGCAGAGUAUGGCAUGGGAGGUCAAGUUUCCAUCUUUGGAGAUAUUUAUAGCUUUGGAAUAUUGUUGCUAGAAAUAUUUACAGGAAGAAAACCUACAGAUGACAUGUUCAAUGAUGGUCUAAGCAUUCGCCAGUUCGCUACCAUGGCGAUGCCUGACCAUGCCAUUGACAUAGUUGACCCUUCAUUGCUCAUUGAAUGUGGAGAUGUAGAUGGCAGCCAACUUGAAGCAAGAAGGUUGGAGGAAUGCUCAGUUACAGUGAUUCAAAUCGGACUCUCAUGCUCUGCAAUAUCACCGCCGAAGCGGAUGCUUAUGGAUGUUGUUGUCAACAAAUUGAAGAAAAUUAGAGAAUCAUAUCUCAAUUUAAGAGGUAGAGGCUAGAAAUAUAAAUGUAAGCCCCAUUCUCGUAGACACUGUUGUGCAAGAAAAUUGUGAUUAACCACCUUUCGAUCUUAAUCCAACAGUGGAGAACUUAAGAUCGAAUGGUGGGUGACCACAAUUUUUUUCGACCACAGGGUCUAGGAUAACGGGACUGCAAGAAAUCAUUUGAAUAAGGAUAUUAUAUGUAUCAAAUUUGUGUGACAUCAUGUAAGGUUGAACUCAGCAUUUCAUAUAGUAGAAUAAGAAAAGAAUGUUUCAUUUGUUAAUGGUUAAUUUACAAUGAAGUCUAUGACUCUUAUCUUUAUCCCGAGUUCGCUGAUGCAAUUCUCCCACCAUGUCAUUUGAAUGUCUCACAGGUAACACAAAAAUCUCUAUUGUUACUGGUAUCAAUUUGACCCUCAAUCAGUCAUGUGGUGUUACUAAUCCGCAUGCUAUAACAUAGUUGGACGAAAAAAUGUUUUAAUAUUCAUGAACUGAAGAUAGUGUCCAUGACAAACGCAUAAGUUAAAACAUGAAUGAAAUGAUAACACCGGAAAACUUUCUACCCAUAAGUUAAAAGGUUUCCCUAUUAGAUGUUUGAGUCAAAAUCUUAAAGUAGCAUAUCAUUUCAAAGAUUUAUUGGAAACAUAGGAUCUGAUCGCAAAUAUUCUUCUACCCAUUGUAACGGUCAGAAGCUAAAGUUCGGUAUACUUGUAAUUAUAAAACGAAGGUUAAAAGAGAUUAUUGGCAAUAGCAAGGAAUUAUCAGGACUUCGGAUUAAAAGCAAGAAUGGGAUACCCAUUGCUACAAAAGGAAUGAACAUUUCAAUUGUUGAAUUGAAUCCAGUAAACAAAACACGGUCUCAAAAAAUUCAUUAUCUUAUUCUCAUACCAGGAUUACUGGAGAACACGCAUCAAAAUCUGACCAUUCUGGCAGGAGCCUUUGUUCUUCGCAAGUAAUAUAUUGCCUCAGUUUGAGAAGUACAGCGAACUGUCGCAAAUUUAGAGUAUUCUGGGAAAGACCUGCAACAUAGUUUCGAAUGAAUAAAAUAAAAAUCUAGUACAGUAAGAGUAUUUUACAAAUGAUAUAUACAUAUAUGUGUCAUUCACGAUCCAUUCAGCAUACCUGAAAAUUAUCUUCUGGAGCUGCAGUUUGAGGGAUUCCUUCAAUAAAACCUGAUAAUAGAAAUCAGGUCCAUUUCAGGUGAUAGCAAAUUAAUUUUGAGCUAAAGUGUACUGGAUUACAUUCCAAUAUUGAUGGUAUAUACUUGACAUAGGGGAAAUAAUAACUCCAAAAUACGAAGAAUCGAUCUGCAUAUGAACAUAUGGAGCUUGUUUCUCUUCGAUCAAUAGACUCAAUACAAAUGCCAGCCUCAGUUACUGACUUUCUUGUGAAGGCUCAUGCAAACAUACUAAAACAAAAAUUCACUAGGUUGCCACAUAAUAGUCCCAGCGAUUCUGUUUUCACGAAGAAGCAACUGUAUCCAGGUAAUAUUUAUGUGUUAUCCAGAUCAAAAAACCCUACUUAAACAAAAGAAUUUGAAUUCAUUAGGUUCAGCCUUGAAAGCCGAAUAUAUGGCACUCUCAGGAUGAAUAUGUUAUCAGUGUUUUAAGGCAUCAAUCCUGUCUUACUACUUAGUCCAUUCCACAAAGCAAGCAAUUUUAUUGCAUGAAGACCAACUCCGAACACAACCAACUUGAUCAAACAUUUCAUUAAAAUCCAUAAUAAACAUGCAAUAGAAAACCUUGACUUACAGUUUUUCCAUCAUGGGAAGUAAGAUUGUCCCAAUGCGAUCGGUUAGCCUGUCAUUUACAAACCCAGAAUCAACACACUACGACACCAAAUAGGCGCACAACAAUCAUAUCCUAUGAAAGCAUCCAUGGCACCAUUACCCUCUCCAAUUUAUACAAGGGGGCCCUUCCUGGAAAUCACCCUUGCUGCAUUAUCAAAAGCUUUCCAUGACUGGAACUGCACUACCCUA
rnacentral:lncRNA from 1 species